rnacentral:rRNA from 1 species
UACAGAGGUCCCAAGCGUUAUUCGGAUUCACUGGGCGUAAAGGGUGCGCAGGCGGCCAAGUGUGUCAGGUGUGAAAUCCCGAGGCUUAACCUCGGAACUGCGCCUGAAACUACUUGGCUAGAGUACUGGAGAGGGUAACGGAAUUCACGGUGUAGCAGUGAAAUGCGUAGAUAUCGUGAGGAACACCAGAGGCGAAGGCGGUUACCUGGACAGUUACUGACGCUCAGGCACGAAAGCGUGGGGAGCAAAAGGG